rnacentral:rRNA from 1 species
CGGACGGGUGAGUAACACGUGGGCAACCUGCCUAUAAGACUGGGAUAACUUCGGGAAACCGGAGCUAAUACCGGAUAAUCCUAUUCCUCUCAUGUGGAAUAGCUGAAAGACGGUUUCGGCUGUCACUUAUAGAUGGGCCCGCGGCGCAUUAGCUAGUUGGUGAGGUAAUGGCUCACCAAGGCAACGAUGCGUAGCCGACCUGAGAGGGUGAUCGGCCACACUGGGACUGAGACACGGCCCAGACUCCUACGGGAGGCAGCAGUAGGGAAUCUUCCGCAAUGGACGAAAGUCUGACGGAGCAACGCCGCGUGAACGAUGAAGGCCUUCGGGUCGUAAAGUUCUGUUGUUAGGGAAGAACAAGUAUCGGAGUAACUGCCGGUACCUUGACGGUACCUAACCAGAAAGCCACGGCUAACUACGUGC